UACGGGGGGGGCAAGCGUUGUUCGGAAUUACUGGGCGUAAAGGGCGUGUAGGCGGCCUUCUAAGUCAGACGUGAAAUCCCUCGGCUCAACCGAGGAACUGCGUCUGAUACUGGAAGGCUUGAAUCCGGGAGAGGGAUGUGGAAUUCCAGGUGUAGCGGUGAAAUGCGUAGAUAUCUGGAGGAACACCGGUGGCGAAGGCGGCAUCCUGGACCGGUAUUGACGCUGAGGCGCGAAAGCUAGGGGAGCAAACAGG
rnacentral:rRNA from 1 species